rnacentral:lncRNA from 1 species
CAUUAUACUAGAUACUAUUUUAGCCAAAACUCCUAGAAUUAAUUAGUCAUCCGAUAGUAAUAAAUCAUGAAUAAACUACAUAAAAAAUUUAGUACAAAUUAUAAGUUAAUAGUGUUAGACAGACGCACCUCUAAGAAUUUAAUAUGAGGUCUUAAUAUACAAGGAAAUAUAGUUUAUGGGGUUUUGGGGGCACUAGAUAGUUCAAGUAAUGAACUAACAAAAACUUAAAGUUUAUGGGGGGUUUAGGCUGGGUUAAAUAGCCACGUGUAGUGUCAUAUGACACGUUUUUUAGGAAUUAGGAGUGUAUAGACGAACAUUUAAGAAUGCAACGAGGGGUUUUUAGUAUGAAGGGCAAUAUAGUUCGGGGGGUUUUGGAACAUCGAAUACUUUAUGUAGAAAACUGAUAAAAACGUUUAGGGAGAUUUUAGGGUAUUAACUCUAUGUAAAUCAAUUUCAUGAGAUUUUGUCCUAUCUUCCACCAUAGUAUGACGCAAUAGAGCUGAAGGAAAUACAAAACGUAGACAGCAGAAUAGAUCGCCCUUGACUUUCUACCUUCCCGGUUGCUAUUACUAUUUUCCAUUAGAAUGUGCUGGUUUUCGCCCUGGGCAAUUCUUUACACCAUUUGAUUUGCUCUUUCACUGUGGCAACUUACUUGCAAAAAACAGAAAUUGCCAAUUCUAGUCUUGCUUGGAAGCUAAGAUGAAAGGGUCCUGUUUCCCUUCUACCAGCAUUGCGCAGGUAAGGCGUUCCUAUUCUUUUUUGUGGUCUGCUCACCCUUUAUAGAUAACAAUGACAUUUUGUAG